ensembl:snoRNA
ACUGCCCCUAGAGGCGUUACAGAUGUGACUGCUGUGUCACAUGUGUGUCUUUAUGUGGCAGAGAGAAGAGGCUUGUCUACGUCCAGUGCUCUGACCUGUGAGCCUCUGGGUGAGUGAUAGUCUGACAUU